CUCCAUCGUUUUCUUAUCUUCCUCUCUCUAUUCUCCACUUCAAGAACUUCAUUUUUUUUUCUUCAUCACAAACACAAGCUCAUUUUCACUAUCUUGAAGGGGAGCUUAUAAGUUUAGAUAGAGGAAGAAGAACUCAAGAUGAGAGGAAGAGGAAAUCUUAUAGGGUUUUGGCUAGUAUGGGCUUGCUCUUCAUUUGCCUUUUCAUCCCCUCUUUUCCUCCAAAUUAAUUACUCAUACUAGCAAAUCUAUGGUUUUAGAUUAAAGAUUUGGUUUAAAGGAUCAAGUGGGAAGAGAAGUUCAAGGUAUUGGUCAAGGGUAGCAAGUGUUCAACUGUGGCUUCUGAAUCUGUAUUUAGCACUGGAGGGAGGACUUUGGAUCAAUUAGGAGUUUUUUACUUCCAACUACUACAGAGGUCUUAAUUUGCUGCCAAGAUUGGUUGAGAAAUUAAAGCAAAUCUAUCCAACUUGAAUAAUCCAUUGAAGAGCUUGAAAGUUGGGAGUUGGGUAUAACUACUGCAACAAAUACAUUGUAUGAUCUUAAUUAUUCAAUGUUUGCAAUUUUUCUUUUGGCUUAUUUUCUUUUUCAUAUAAUGAAUUUCAAAGAUUACUCAAGAUCUUAAAGUUAUGGAGAUGAUCAUUCCAAGAACUAGAGUGGAUUGCUAGACAUUGUGAGUUGUGAAUUAACUUUAGUUUUUUUUUUUACCUUUAAUUAAUUGAAAGUAUUUAUCUAUUAAUAUAUUUAUUGUGUAAAAAUGAAGGUGCCAUCAUAUUGGAGGAAGGCUUGAAUCUUGGAAGUUGAUUGGAAUUUUUUUCUUUUUAUGAAAAAUAUGGCAAUGAAGCAUUUAAAAGCUAAUUGUUGUUGUUGUUGAUAUGUUUUUUUUUUCUUUUUUUUUUCUCUUUCCAAAAUGUGAGAGUAAAGCUUUACUUUAUAUUAUUCUUGUUGAUUUGGUGUUAUUUUAUAAAUUGGAUAGAAAUAUUAUGACUUAUUAUGGA